rnacentral:rRNA from 1 species
CCUACGGGCGGCAGCAGUGGGGAAUAUUGCACAAUGGGCGCAAGCCUGAUGCAGCCAUGCCGCGUGUGUGAAGAAGGCCUUCGGGUUGUAAAGCACUUUCAGCGGGGAGGAAGGCGUUAAGGUUAAUAACCUUGUCGAUUGACGUUACCCGCAGAAGAAGCACCGGCUAACUCCGUGCCAGCAGCCGCGGUAAUACGGAGGGUGCAAGCGUUAAUCGGAAUUACUGGGCGUAAAGCGCACGCAGGCGGUCUGUCAAGUCGGAUGUGAAAUCCCCGGGCUCAACCUGGGAACUGCAUUCGAAACUGGCAGGCUAGAGUCUUGUAGAGGGGGGUAGAAUUCCAGGUGUAGCGGUGAAAUGCGUAGAGAUCUGGAGGAAUACCGGUGGCGAAGGCGGCCCCCUGGACAAAGACUGACGCUCAGGUGCGAAAGCGUGAGGAGCAAACAGGAUUAGAUACCCCGGUAGUC